rnacentral:rRNA from 1 species
CGUGCAGGUGGUUUGGUAAGUUGGGUAUGAAAUCUCCUGGCUUAACUAGGAGAGGUUGCUCAAAACUACCAGACUAGAGGACGAUAGAGGAAGGUGGAAUUUCCGGUGUAGUAGUGAAAUGCGUAGAUAUCGGGAGGAACACCAGUGGCGAAGGCGGCCUUCUGGGUCGUUCCUGACACUAAGACGCGAAAGCAUGGGUAGCAAACG